rnacentral:rRNA from 1 species
AACGAACGCUGGCGGCGUGCCUAACACAUGCAAGUCGUGCGAGAAAGUUCCUUCGGGAGCGAGUAAAGCGGCGCACGGGUGAGUAACACGUAGGUAACCUGCCCCCCAGUCUGGAACAACUAGAGGAAACUCUAGCUAAUGCCGGAUGAGACCACGAUCCCUUCGGGGGUUGCGGCCAAAGAUGGCCUCUACUUGUAAGCUAUCGCUGAGGGAUGGGCCUGCGGGCCAUUAGCUUGUUGGUGAGGUAACGGCUCACCAAGGCUGUGAUGGCUAGCUGGUCUGAGAGGAUGACCAGCCACACUGGGACUGAGACACGGCCCAGACUCCUACGGGAGGCAGCAGUGGGGAAUAUCGCGCAAUGGGCGAAAGCCUGACGCAGCGACGCCGCGUGGGUGAUGAAGGCCU